ACCUGGCGGCUCAGAUGGUAAAGAGUCUGCCUGCAAUGCAGGAGACCCAGGUUCAAUCCCUGGGUCAGGAA
rnacentral:tRNA from 1 species